UACGUAGGGUGCAAGCGUUGUCCGGAUUUAUUGGGCGUAAAGAGCUCGUAGGCGGUUUGUCGCGUCUGCUGUGAGAGCCCGAGGCUCAACCUCGGGUCUGCAGUGGGUACGGGCAGACUAGAGUGCGGUAGGGGAGAUUGGAAUUCCUGGUGUAGCGGUGGAAUGCGCAGAUAUCAGGAGGAACACCGAUGGCGAAGGCAGAUCUCUGGGCCGUUACUGACGCUGAGGAGCGAAAGCAUGGGGAGCGAACAGG
rnacentral:rRNA from 1 species